UGUCUGGUGAGAGCCCAUAGAUGAUGCC
rnacentral:piRNA from 1 species